GGUGGAGGACUAAGAAGGCUGAGUCUGAUGAAGCAAGACUCUGCUGAUACAAUCCUCCUAGAGAAAAGGGUUUGAGAGAGCAGCUCUUACCGGGAGAAAGUCACAGGGCUGACUGUAGUACCCAACAUUC
ensembl:snoRNA